GACGAACGCUGGCGGCGUGCCUAAUACAUGCAAGUAGAACGCAGUUGCGAACGGGUGAGUAACGCGUAGGUAACUGCCUCAUAGCGGGGGAUAACUAUUGGAAACGAUAGCUAAAACCGCAUACUUUGAGAUGGACCUGCGUUGUAUUAGCUAGUUGGUGAGGGAAAUGAUCACCAAGGCGUCGAUACACAGCGUGCCUGAGAGGGUGAUCGGCCAAACUGGGACUGGGACACGGGCCAGACUCCUACGGGGGGCAGCAGUAGGGAAGCUUUGGAAAUGGGCGGAAGUCCUACCGCGCAACGCCGGGGGAGUGAAAAAGGGUUUCGGGUCGUAAAACUCUGUUGUUAGAGAAGCGGUAACUGAACAGAAAGGGACGGCUAACUGCGUGCCAGCAGCCGCGGUAAUUC
rnacentral:rRNA from 1 species